UACGUAGGAGGCAAGCGUUGUCCGGAAUUACUGGGCGUAAAGCGCGUGUAGGUGGUGGGACAAGUCUGCUGUGAAAGCGCCUGGCUUAACCGGGCGAGGUCGGCGGAAACUGUUCGACUCGAGGACGGUAGAGGGGGGUGGAAUUCCCGGUGUAGUGGUGAAAUGCGUAGAGAUCCGGAGGAACCCCAGAGGCGAAGGCGGCGCUCUGGCUCGCAACUGACGCUCAGACACGACAGCAUGGGGAGCGAACGGG
rnacentral:rRNA from 1 species